AGGUCUUCCUGCAAAUAAAGUCAGCAUGAUUCCUUUGUCCUUGGGAUCAGUGUCACAUAUGUGUUGUAGGCAAACAAAGAGCUAAUGCAUAGCCAUGCAGUAACAGGAUAAUUUGGAGAAGACAAUUAGCAGGGGAUGAGCCUCAGCAGGAACCAGGAAAACAGCCCUCAGCCUGCCCAACCCCACCUCAGAUGCCAUCCGCUUCUCAGAACUACACUCAGCUACCCCCGUCAGUGCCAUGAAAGCUCCACACUCAUCCUGACAUGUCUUGUACCACAGCCCACAGUCAGCGCAGAUGGGCCCUUUGUGCCUCAUGAGUUGAAUGUCCAUGUGUGCAGCCUGUCACUACUGACCCAUCUGCCCACAUCGUCACUGUUGUUGUGGCCCUCUCGGUGCCUCAUGCUAGGUGGCCAUGCAGACAGCAGGUCCCAACCCUCUAUCCCAAGCUAGGUCAGAACUGCUUCUCCUCACAGAGUAAGGGACUCAGGUCUGGAUCUGUUUCUUCCUGUGUUCUGGCUGAACUCACAAACUAGCCCAGAGAGGAGUCUCUCUUCUCCUUUCCAACACUCUCACCCCUCUGCUUUUGGCUCCCCAUCCCCUGAGAUCUUCAGAUCUGGUCCAUCCCCUAAGGAACGAGCAGGGAUGGGGGAAGGGAUGUAUUACAGAGAUGUCAUAUCAGUAGCAUUUUUAAGAAGGACAGAUGCUCCUUGACUUAGGACAGGGUCACAUUCCCAUAAAACUGUCAUAAGUUGAAAAUAUAUUUAAUGCAGUACACCCAACCUACAGAACAUAUGGCUUAGCUAGCCAAUUUUAAAUGUGCUCAGGACACUACCCUUAGAAUACAGUUGGGCAAAAUCAUCUAACACAAAUCCUAUUUUAUAAUAAAGUAUUGAAUAUUUCAUGUAACUUACUGAAAGCUAUACUGAAAGUGGAAACACAGUGGUUGUAUGGGUACUCGAAGUAUGGUUUGUACAGAAUGCCUGUUGCUCUCAUGCCAUCAUAAAGUCGAGAAAUCCUAAGUCAAACCAUCGCAUGUCUGGGACCAUCUUUAGACUAAAUUCAGGAAACAAGAUAUGUUAGAAAUACGGUGUCUUCAAAAUCAUUUCCUUUCCCUUUUAAAAAAUAAGAACGUAAGGAAAAGUUACCCCAGAUAUUGAGACAUCUCAGAUUAUGGGCAAAAUUUGGUGUAGGAAUAAAAAAGGUUCAUGUCAUUGGAAAUGUCUGCCACCAUAUGAUUGUAGAUACUUUGUUUUAUUAAGAUGCCACCAUCUGUUUCACCAACGAUUUUCAAAGGCCAGAAGAACCAAUUUGAAAGAUAAAGUAUGGAAAAAUAACUCUUUGUUUUAAUUAAUUAAAAAUAACUGAUAUAUAAAAAUAACUUCUUGUUUCAUAGCUUCUAUUAUCAUAUAUAGUCUUCUGGUAAUAUUAUUUUCAUAGUAAUUAACUUUAACCCACGGUCUCUCAAACGCUUCAUAUACUUCAGGCAUGUAAUUAUUAUCACAGGGAAUUAUUUCCCAGAAUUCUUCUAACCCUAGGGAAUAAGAGGGACUCCAGUGUUUAUUUUUAUUGUAUCCUCCAUUUUUUCUUCUUCUUUAAGAAUGGAGGAAAGAGUUAUUGCCUUUCAGCGCAACCUGUUUUCAUUUUGCAAUUCUUUUAUAUUUUCACUUGCCAGCCUGGAGAAAAAUGUGUUCAGAAUAUUGGUACCUAAGAAAGGAGAAUAUGGUUGAUUUAUUUCCUGUUCGCAGAGUCCUUGCCGUGUGCACAAGAGUGGGAGCUACAUGGCCAGCAGCAGUCCUUUCUUUCCCUGGCCAUGCUCACAAAGCUGGGACCUACAUUGGAUACUACUGCUGCGGGUUUACAAUCCUCAGUUGACCUGUCUGCGGGGAGACGGAAGCCCCUGAGUACUUUGCCCAGGAUGUCUUGUCUUUGGAACUCCACUCCUCCCCAGCUUGGCAAAACCCUUGGUGUGCUCUUCUUUUAAAACAGGGUAAAACAGAUACUUAACAACUGUCAUUUCACAGUUGGUAUUUUAAUAGAUAUUUCUCCCAGCUGCUAUUGUUUUAGAUUUCUUAAGUAAAUAUUUUUGUAUUGUGUUUGAGUAUCCUAAGGUAAUAUUAUCACAAAGGGUACAGUUUUAUACAUUGAAAAUAAAUUAACUUGGGUACAUGCCAUAUUCCAAAGUGUCAGCAGAGGAGGGGGAGUAGUGUUAAUGUAAAUACUUCUGCAGAGUAGUAAUAAUGGAUGGCAGAAAAAAUGAAGAGAAAGGAAAGAUAGGAGGUGAGAUUUUACCAGAGUGAGUCAGGGAACAAGCAGACGUAGAGAAGGCCUGGAAAGGUUGGAUGUACUGUAAGGAGAGUUUUCAGCAAUAGGAUACAGCUGAGGCUAGGUUUGGCAGAGCUAGGUGGAGUACUGAAAGGUGAUGUCUUCGAAGCCUGUGGUGUUUUGAGUCUUAUUUUGCCCUGUUUACCUUAAUGGAAGGAAAGAUCCUAGACCACAGGCCCUGGGUUCCACCUGAUUGGCUGCGGCAGGCAGCAUGAGCAUCCCUGCCGGGGGCAUCAGCUUCCCUUCUCUCUCUGUCCUCUCAUGCACUUGUUCUGCGCCAUGGCCAGGUACUGUUCCCUAUGGGGGUGGUGAGAAUGUUUUUAAGGGCCUAUGCUCAGGGACCCUCAUAGAGCAGAAACCCAGAUUCUGCAGGUCUGGAAGAGCCUUGGGAAAAGACCAAUGUGGCCUGUGCCGAUUAGGAAGUCAGUGAUACCCUGACAGCCUGCAGCUGGUGGGAAUGGUCUGUGCACUCUCCCGGCUGUCAGCUGCCCUCACUCCUCACUCUGCUGCAGUCUGGCCUGCCACCUUCCUUCUUGUCACUUUCCUUCAUUGUAUCUUUGGCCCAAUUAACCAGUCUCCAGCUUCUUUCUUCCUUCCCUAGCGUGCGGGACACCACCUUCUCCUUGUCUGCUCCUCUCUUGGCUCCGCUUGACAUUGGAGGCCCCUUGCACUCCAUCUUGACCUUCCCACACCCUCCCUAGAUGCCCACAACUCAUGGCUCCAACCUUGUGUGCUCUAGUGAUUCCCCUCCAUUUGUCCUUUCCAGGGGCCUCCUGGGCAUUUUCUGGUUAUGCUACCAACACCUCGUAUCUAAACUAAAACUCCACAUCAUCCCUAACCCAUCCCCAACCUAAUCCUUCAGGCAAACUCAACACUCCAGCAUUGCCUCUCAUCAUCCCAGUAUUUCCUUGUGCAAGCUGGAAGUCACUUCACUUUCUCCCCUUACUUUACCGUAGUCAGUAGGUCCUUAUGCCCAGCAGGUUCUCUCACUUAUUUCCCUUGCCGGACCUUCUUUAUGUCUCACGAGUUGAUUGCUUUUUGUUGGUUCAUCAGUUUCUGUCUGCAUUUUGUACAGCCCCCUCCGGGUCUAUCUACCUCCUGUUCUUUGCUCUGCCAGGCAUCCUGCCUAUUGCCACCGGAAAGAAUAUCUUUCUAAAUUCCAAAUCUGAUUCUGCUGCUUGCUUAACACAUGCGUGUAAAAGUAGCAUAAUGGGUUAUCAGAAGCAGAAUUCUUCCUUUAGAGGCUAACAUUUUGUCAAGAAAAUUUGACUAGGUAGAUUUCAAAUGCAUAAAUGCUGAAUGAGAGCCCAGUUAAUAGUCUCGGACUAUGAAUAACUGUGUCCAAGACCUUAUUAUGUUUAUAUGAAAUAGGUUGGAUUUGCUUAUAAAAUUCAGGUAUCCUAGUAGAUUCAUUUUCUGCUGCUGGAAAUAGUAAGGACUGACCCUGGGUCAAAAUUUGCAUUUGUUUCCUAUCAUGUAGAAACUUCAGCAAAAUAAACAGGAUCAUAAAAUUAACAUUUUAUUGUUCUUCACAGAUCUGUAUUCACUUCACCACUCUCACUGAAUUAAAUCACCCUGUUACUUGUUUAUGUAAGGAAAAAAGAACAAGUCAACUGACUGAAUAAACUAUGGGUUAUUUA